CGACCAAUGGGAGGCGGCCGGGCCGGGAGCGGGGCCAAUGGCAGCGGCUGGCGGAGACGCGGCCCUUUAAGAAGCCGCGGGCGCCCUAGGGGGCAGAGCACCGGAUAACAGCUGCAGCAGCAACGCGGCGGCCGCCACCAUGGCCCUGCAGGCUGAUUUUGACAGGGCUACAGAAGAUGUGAGGAAGCUGAAAGCAAGACCAGAUGAUGGAGAACUGAAAGAACUCUAUGGGCUUUACAAACAAGCGAUAAUUGGAGACAUUAAUAUUGAGUGUCCAGGAAUGCUAGAUUUAAAAGGCAAAGCCAAAUGGGAGGCAUGGAACCUCAAAAAAGGGUUGUCGACGGAAGAUGCGAUGAGUGCCUAUAUUUCUAAAGCAAAGGAGCUGAUAGAAAAAUAUGGAAUUUAGAAUACAGCAUACGAGGAAUAUUUGCUUUUGAAGCCUUCCUAAUGCUAUCAUGACCUAACAUUUAGAGGGAGAGGCACACUGUUAACUUGAUGUAUCAUGUAGAUUUUUGCUAUUAGCAUGAAUUGUAAUACUUAGGAGCAUACUGAAACUACAUAGUUUACUCAAUUGUACUUGCUUAAACCAGGUGUCUUUAAAGUUCUUUUUAAGAAAAUAUGGUACAUAUACACCAUGGAAUACUAUGCAGCCAUGAAAAAGGAUGAGUUCCUGUCCUUUGCGGGGACAUGGAUGAAGCUGGAAAGCAUCAUUCUCAGCAAACUAUCACAAGAUCAGAAAACCAAGCAUGUUCUCACUCAUAAGUGGGAGUUGAACAGUGAGAUCACAUGGACACAGGGAGGGGAACAUCACACACCGGGGCCUGUCGGGGGUGGGGGGCUAGGGGAGGGAUAACAUUAGGAGAAAUACCUAAUGUAGGUGACCGGUUGAUGGGUACAGCAAACCACCAGGGCACGUGUAUACCUCUGUUACAAAACUGCGCGUUCUGCACAUGUAACCCAGAACUUAAGGUAUUUAAAAUUAAAAAAAGUUCUUUUAGAAAAGUAUUUUGUGUUUUAUUUUUAUAGAGUUAGAGAGGACAACUGCAGUUUUUAUUCGUUUGCUUGUUUGUUUUUCCUUGAGGAGUCUCGUUUUCUCACCCAGGCUGGAGUACAGUGGUGCGAUCUCGGCUCACUGGAAACUCUGCCUCCUGGGUUCAAGUGAUUCUCUUGCCUCAGCCUCCUGAGUACCUGGGAUUACAGGCGCUUGCCACCCUGGCUGGCUAAUUUUUGUAUUUUAGUACAGAUAGGGUUUUGCCAUGUUGGCCAGAGUGGUCUCGAACUCCUGACUUCAGGUGAUCUGCACACCUUGGCCUCCCACAGUGCUGGGGUUAUAGGUAUGAGCCACCACACCUGGUCACAAGUGCAGUUCUGUUGCAUGGAUAUAUUGUGUGGUGGGGAAAUCUGGGCUUUUAGUGUAACCAUCACCCAAACACUGUACAUUGUACCCAAAAGGUAAUUUCUCAUCCCUCACGCCCUCCCACCUUUCCAAGCCUCCAGUGUCUAUUAUUCCACACUCCAGGACCCUGUGUUCACACUGCUUAACUCCCACUUAUAAGUGAAAGCGUGGUACUUCUUUUGUUUGUUUCUGAGGGUUUUAAAAAAUCUUUAUUUUCUUGUUUUUUUGUUUUGUUUUGUUUUUUUCUGAAUUUUUUCACUUAAGAUAAUAGCCUCCAGUUCCACUCAUGUUGCUGCAACAUUUUCUUUUAUGGCUGAGUAAUAUCCCCUGGUAUACAUAUACCACGUUUUCUUUAUCCCGUCAUCCGCUGAUGGAUACUUAGGUUGAUCCCAUGUCUUUGCUAUUGUGAAUUGUGCUGCAAUAGACAUACAAGGCAGGUAUCUUUUGGAUAGAAUGACUUCUUUUCCUUUAAGAAGAUGCCCAGUAGUGGGAUUGCUGGGUAGAAUGGUAGUUCUAUUUUUAGUUCCGCCAGAAAUUCCCAUGCUGUUUUUUUAUAGAGGUUGUACUAAUUUACAUUCCCACCAACAGUGUAUAUGCAUUCCCUUUCUCCACAUCUGUUGUUUGACUUUUUAGAAAGUCUCACCCUGGUAAUAUGUGUACAGAUUUGAACAGCUGUUUGUUCUUUUGGCUCAUCUGUUCUGUUACAAAGAGUUAAUGUUACUGGUGAAAUAAAAACAGGUUAUUAAGAAUCAAUGGCAAGGCUGAACGUGGUGGCUCAUGCCUGUAAUCUCAGCACUUUGGGAGGCCGAGGCGGGUGAAUCACUGAGGUCAGAAGUUCGAGACCAGCCUGACCAACAUUGCAAAACCUCAUCUCCACUAAAAAUACAAAAAUUGUUAUCCGUCUCUUAAACGGAAAAAAAAAAAAAAAAAAAAGAAUCAAUGGUAAGACUGUUCCUUCCUUACACCAUGUGGCUUUGAGGUCACAGUGAUACAGAGACUGUGAACCAGAGAACAUACUUGGUUCAGGUCCUCAUUCAUCUGUGAACGUGCUAGGUGACCUGGAGCAAGUUACUUAACCUUAUUAAGCCUUAUCUGUAGAGGAGGGAAAAUAAUUAUCACUCUCAAAGGGCAGUUCUAAGAAUUGAAAGAGAGGCUGGGUGCGGUGGCUCAUGCCUGUAAUCCCAGCACUUUGGGAGGCUGAGGUGGGUGGAUCACGAGGUCAGGAGAUCAAGACCCUCCUGGCUAACACGGUGAAACCCCGUUUCUACCAAAAAUACACAAAAUUAGCCGGGUGUGGUGGCGGGCACCUGUAGUCCCAGCUACUCGGGAGACUGAGGCAGGAGAAUGGCAGAGAAUAGCAUGAACCCAGGAGGCGGAGCUUGCAGUGAGCAGAGAUCCCGCCACUGCUCUCCAGCCUGGGUGACAGAGCGAGACUCCAUCUCAAAAAAAAAAAAAAAAGAAAAAAAAGAAAUGUACAAGUCUGCCCAUAGCAGUUUAAAGAAAUUUAAAAAGCCACCAUAGAAAUAUCUCCUGUUUUUCUUUAAAUUUUUACAUUUAAGACAAAUAAAAAAGCAAACUAAAAUGUAUCUAAUGAUAAACUGUACCACUACUGUACCCCAUGUGUUCAGUUCUAUCAGAGUAAAAAGAGUCUGGAAUAUAAUAUUGGCCCCCGACUCAGUCUUUCUGGAUGGUACACAGGCUCUUUGAAAGAAGAGUCUGUUGUUAACAAUUCAAAAAAUUGUUUGAGAUUUCUUAAGAUAAAUAUCCCCCCAAAACAGUGCACCUCUAUUCCCCACAUAACAAUUUAGAUUUGGAAUUGUAUGACCAGAGAAAUAGAUCAACUUCAUGUUACUGCUACAACAACAACAGAACUGUCUAGGUCCGCUAGAUAAAUUUCCAGGGAAUUACGAUGAGCAGAAAAAGCCAGUCCCCAAACGUUACAUGUAUAAUUCCAUUUAUGUAACGUUCUUUUUCUUUUCUUUUCUUUUUAGACAGGGUGUCAUUCUUUUACCCAGGAUGCAGUGCAGUGGCACCAUCUCAGUUCACUGCAACCUCUGCCUCCCAGGGUCAAGCAAUCCUCCCAUCUCAGCCUCCCGAGUAGCUGGGACUACAGGUGCAUGCAACCAUGCCCGGCUAAUUCUUGUAUUUUUCACAGAGACAGGGUUUCACCAUGUUUUCCCAGGUUGGUCUGGAACUCCUGAUCUGAGGUGAUCUACCCACCUCGGCCUCACAAAGUGCUGAGACUACAGGCACGAGCCACCGCACCCGGCCUCUCUUUCAAUUCUUAGAACAGCCCUUUGAGAGUGAUAACUAUUUUCGCUCCUCUACAGAUAAGGCUUAAUAAGGUUAAGUAACUUGCUUUUUAAGUUACUUAAUAACUUAAAUUAUUAAGUAUUAAGCCACCGCGUCCAGCCAGGAUUCCUGAAGGGGAAAAUUUAUAGACACAAAGGAUGGAAUAGUGGUUGCCAGGGAGGAGGGAGGUUAGUGUGGCUUUAAAAGGGCAGCAGGAGGGAUGAUCCUGCAGUGAUGGAAUGUUCUGUGUCCUGAUUGUAGCAACACCAAUAUCCUGCUUGUGAUAUUACACUAUAUUUCCUAUAACAGUUACCAUUAAAGGAAAUUGGGUUAAAGGCUA